UGGCGGCCAUAGCGCGGUGGCACCACCUGAACCCAUGCCGAACUCAGAAGUGAAACGCCGUAGCGCCGAUGGUAGUGUGGGGUCUCCCCAUGCGAGAGUAGGACACUGCCAGGCA
rnacentral:rRNA from 3 species